CAAUAAGCGGAGGAAAAGAAACCAACAGGGAUUGCCCUAGUAACGGCGAGUGAAGCGGCAACAGCUCAAAUUUGAAAUCUGGCUACUUUGUAGUCCGAGUUGUAAUUUGUAGAGGAUGCUUUUGGUGAGGUGCCUUCCGAGUUCCCUGGAACGGGACGCCAUAGAGGGUGAGAGCCCCGUACGGUUGGAUGCCAAACCUUUGUAUAGCUCCUUCAACGAGUCGAGUAGUUUGGGAAUGCUGCUCUAAAUGGGAGGUAUAUCUCUUCUAAAGCUAAAUAUAGGCUAGAGACCGAUAGCGCACAAGUAGAGUGAUCGAAAGAUGAAAAGCACUUUGAAAAGAGAGUUAAACAGCACGUGAAAUUGUUGAAAGGGAAGCGCCUAUGACCAGACUUGUCUCUAUCAGUUUUGCUAGUUUUCGGACUGGUUUACUCUGUUAGUACAGGCCAGCAUCAGUUUGUUGUUGGGGAGAAAGGCUUAGGGAAUGUGGCUCUUUCGGGAGUGUUAUAGCCCUUUGCAUAAUACCUUUCGACAGACUGAGGACCGCGCUUCGGCAAGGAUGCUGGCGUAAUGG
rnacentral:rRNA from 1 species